GAUGCAUUUUGGUGCUUUGAACGUAUGAUGAAGAGACUGAGAAAAAAUUUCAGAGCUACUGGGAACUCUGUUGGAGUGGAGGCGCAGCUAAGUUAUCUAGCAUCAAUAACUCAAGUUAUCGAUCCCAAACUUCACCAGCACUUAGAGACAUUAGGUGGAGGAAAUUACGUGUUUGCUUUUCGGAUGCUCAUGGUUAUGUUCCGUCGAGAAUUUUCUUUCUCUGAUUCGUUAUAUCUUUGGGAGAUGAUGUGGUCUCUGGAAUAUGAUCCUGAGUUAUUUUCCAUGUAUGAAGAAGACCCUGACUUGACUGCUGAAAAUUCUAGACGAGCAAAAGUUAAGUCGAUACGUCAGUAUGGGAAAUAUGAGAGAGAAAACAUGAGAAGUGGAGGUAAAGAUACAGAAGCUCCCCUCCCAAUUUCUGUUUUCCUAGUAGCCAGCGUCCUGAAGGACAAGAGUGCGAAGCUAACAGAAGCUAGAGGACUGGACGAAGUUGUUAAGAUCCUGAAUAAUAUUACUGGACACUUGGAUGCCAGAAAGGCUUGCAGUAGCGCUAUGAAGCUUCACAAGAAGUAUCUUAAGAAGGCAGCCAACACUAAUAGGUAGUCGAGCAGAGGCGAGUACUAUGUAAUAUUCUCACUGAACUUAACGACAACAUCUUCUCGUUGCUGGCCAAGAAGGUAUGACAAGAAUCUAUAUUUAUAUAUUUUGGGCUGGUCGAUGAACAUUAGCUGCUUUUGCUAUUGUAGUUAUGUUAUGAUGUGCUAAGACGUAAUUGUUGUAUUCAAUCCAAAUGUAAUGUACAAGGACACACUUCCAAAGUUUGUACUAUAAUCUCAGGAACAAAACAAUGUUCCAUAUUUGUAAGGGAUAGCUUCAAAU
rnacentral:misc_RNA from 1 species